rnacentral:rRNA from 1 species
AUACGUAGGGGGCUAGCGUUAUCCGGAUUUACUGGGCGUAAAGGGUGCGUAGGCGGUCUUUUAAGUCAGGAGUGAAAGGCUACGGCUCAACCGUAGUAAGCUCUUGAAACUGGAGGACUUGAGUGCAGGAGAGGAGAGUGGAAUUCCUAGUGUAGCGGUGAAAUGCGUAGAUAUUAGGAGGAACACCAGUAGCGAAGGCGGCUCUCUGGACUGUAACUGACGCUGAGGCACGAAAGCGUGGGGAGC